GAUUUUAAUGCACCAGGAAUUGAGGGAUCCUCCCCGGGGCAUCCCAAAAAGAGUUUUUGGGGCGGUUUGGGGACGGCAGAGCCGCUCUUUCCUCUCCUUUUCAAGGCUGGAGCUUUGAGAAAAGUUGGUGGUUUUUUUUCUCGGAAAGAGGUUUUCGGGAGAAGCGACGUUUUUGCGGCGUCUCCUCCUCCCCCGGAGCCGCCCGUGACUCAUCUUCCUCCGGCCGGGGAAGGAGCCGCGGGCGCGGCGGGACACGAAAAUCCCGGGAAAUUGGGGGUUAAACCCGGGGAAAAUCCGGGGAAACAAAGGGGAGAAAAAUCCAGGGAAAGUGAGGUGUGAGCAGAGUGAAAAUCCCGGGAAAUUGGGGUUUAAAUCCAGGGAAGAGGGAGGGAAAAUCCAGGGAAAGCGAGGUGUGAGCAGAGUGAAAAUCCCGGGAAAUUUGGGUUAAACCCGGGAAAAAAUCCAGGGAAACCAAAGGGAGAAAAAUCCAGGGAAAGAAAGUGUGAGCAGAGUGAAAAUCCCGGGAAAUUUGGGUUAAACCCGGGGAAAAUCCAGGGAAACCAAAGGGAGAAAAAUCCAGGGAAAGUGAGGUGUGAGCAGAGUGAAAAUCCCGGGAAAUUUGGGUUUAAAUCCAGGGAAGAGGGAGGGAAAAUCCAGGGAGGUGAUGGGGAAAGUGAGGUGUGAGCAGAGUGAAAAUCCCGGGAAAUUUGGGUUUAAAUCCCGGGAAGAGGGAGGGAAAAUCCAGGGAAAGCGAGGUGUGAGCAGAGUGAAAAUCCCGGGAAAUUUGGGUUAAACCCGGGAAAAAUCCAAGGAAAUCAAUGUGAGAAAAAUCCAGGGAAAUCAAGGUGUGAGCGGAGGGAAAAUUCCGGGAAAUUUGGGAAGAGCUGGGGAAAUCAAGGGGAGGAAUAAUCCCAGGACAUGAAGAUUAAAUCCAGAGAAAUCGGGCAGGAAGGGGAGAAAAAUCCAGGGAAAUUCAGAUUAAACCCAAGGGUGAAUAGAGAGAAAUAUGGGGAAACCAAGGGGAGCGAAAAUGGCAUAAAUAAAGUAAAAUAAAGUUUAAAAAGCCCCCGUGUUGGGCUGGACCUGGUGGAAAUGGGGUGAAAUAAAGGGGGGAAAAUGCCAGGGUGAGACUGGGAUCCCUCGGGAGUCCUGGAGCAAGGGAAAUCUGGGCCAGGAUGAUGCAGAUGAUGAUGAGGAUGAUAGGAGAUGUCUGCCCCAGAUCUCCAGGGCGUGACCAGAUCAGGACUGAGAUGUCCCAGCAAUGAGAAAAAUCCCAAAAAUCUGAUUUUUCCCCCGGUAAAAACACACCUGGGGUGGUGGCUGGGGUUUGGUUCCCUGGAUCCUGCUGUGUUUAGGGAGGAAUAAAUGGAAAAUCCAGGUGGUUUUUCCCCAUUUAAUGGCUAAUCCUGCUCCUGAGAAUAAUUUUUAACUUCUUGUGGCCGAGCCAAAGCAGAGCCAGCCUGGCUCGAGCUCCCUGAGGGGAAAUUCUGGAAUUGUCAGGGAUUGGGAGAAGGAAAAUUCCUGUUGGAGGUGGGCUGGGAUGGAAAGAGGAGCCUGAAAAAUGGGAAUUAAAAAUUUGGGAGAGGGAAAAUUCCUUUUGGAGGUGGGCUGGGAUGGAAAGAGGAGCCUGAAAAAUGGGAAUUAAAAAUUUGGGGAGAGGGAAAAUUCCUUUUGGAGGUGGGCUGGGAUGGAAAGAGGAGCCUAAAAAAUGGGAAUUAAAAAUUUGGGAGAGGGAAAAUUCCUGUUGGAGGUGGGCUGGGAUGGAAAGAGGAGCCUGAAAAAUGGGAAUUAAAAAUUGGGGAGAGGGAAAAUUCCUUUUGGAGGUGGGCUGGGAUGGAAAGAGGAGCCUGAAAAAUGGGAAUUAAAAAUUGGGGAGAGGGAAAAUUCCUGUUGGAGGUGGGCUGGGAUGGAAAGAGGAGCCUGAAAAAUGGGAAUUAAAAAUUUGGGAGAGGGAAAAUCCCUGUUGGAGGUGGGCUGGGAUGGAAAGAGGAGCCUGAAAAAUGGGAAUUAAAAAUUGGGGAGAGGGAAAAUUCCUGUUGGAGGUGGGCUGGGAUGGAAAGAGGAGCCUGAAAAAUGGGAAUUAAAAAUUUGGGAGAGGGAAAAUUCCUGUUGGAGGUGGGCUGGGAUGGAAAGAAGAGCCUGAAAAAGGAGAGGAAUGGGAAUUAAAAAUAAAAAUAAAUUCAGGGAGAUGAUUGGGAAAGUGAAGGGUGAGAGAGGAGCAGGGGGGAAAUAUGAGGAGAGCAAGAAGAGCAAAAA